CAGUACGCCGCUAGCGUAGCGCGGCGAGGGACGUCCGGGCCUGCGCGACGCAGUUGACGCAGCGGACGUUGGUGAAUCCACGACUUGGUGCAGCCGGGUUUGGUACCGAGCGGAGAGGAGAUGCACACGGCACUCGAGUGUGAGGGAGGCACACUCCGGUAAGCAGCGCCCAGUUGAAGACAUCGAAGAUGAACAACAAACCAGAGUACUCCCACGAUUCCUCCCAGUCACUCCCCUGCCAAAGUAUAACCGCUACCCGCACUAUUUAGUCCUAAUUUUCAUGUUAAAUAUAAGAGAACGUUAGUGAGCUCUCCUUUUUUUGUUGUUGUAUCCAAAGCAAAACUUCACUUCAAAAAUAGUAUAAUCUGCAUAGUAGUUAAAUUGCCAUAUUGUAAAUUCACCCUAACCUUCAUGAAGACACUAUGCAGUAUAGCACAC
rnacentral:lncRNA from 1 species